GACAGAGGGGGCAAGCGUUGCUCGGAAUUACUGGGCGUAAAGGGCGCGUAGGCGGGAUGGCAAGUCGGUCGUGAAAUCCCUCGGCUCAACUGAGGAUCGUCGAUCGAUACUGCCGUUCUUGAGGAUUGCAGAGGAGACUGGAAUUCCCGGUGUAGCGGUGAAAUGUGUAGAUAUCGAGAGGAACACCUGCGGCGAAGGCGGGUUGCUGGGCUGACACUGACGCUGAUGCGCGAAAGCUAGGGGAGCGAACGGG
rnacentral:rRNA from 1 species